GGGAGGAACUUCAGCGAGAAGAGAGAAGAAUAGGCUUCCGGACAGACCGAGACAGAUUGAGAUGAAUUUAUUGGAGCAGCAGACAAGAGCUCAGAAAAGACUCGAGUCAGCCUGAUGAUUGAAUAUUUCGAACAAAUGCCCCCGGUUUGACCCUUUGACCCCUGACUGCAGUCAAGCACACAGUCCAGUCUGGGGAUAGAGACGGACAGGGCAAACGAAGAUGUUGAACCGGGAAGACGUCAAACUCUCUGAAAUCAGGGUCUUCCCCAUGCGGCCUCCUCCUCAUCCUCCUCCUCCUCCUCAUCCGAUGGCCCUUGGCUCGGGGACCGGUCUGCAGUGGAGUCUUUUUGUUGUCUGGUCCCUGGAUGAUAUGACGGUGCAGAGAAUGUGUGUUGAGCCGAAGGUCCUGGGAGAACUGAGAGGAUGCCUGAACAUCCCGAGACAUGAACAUCAGAGAAAGAAGGGAGAUGGUCUGGUCCUGGUCCUCUCCAUCAUCUCCACCAAGUUGUCUGGGACUCCGUCUGGGUGCGAGUCAACACUGAUGAGCUCGUCUGACAAAACCUAGGGUCAUGAAACCCCAGAACAAAUGGAGUCAGUCCAGAGUCGGUCCUGGGAGUGUGUUCAACACAGGCUGCUGUGGCGAGAGAGGGCCGCAUCUCGUUUCUGAGCGCUUUUCUGUGUUUAUUCAUCAGAAAGAGCUGUAGCAUGUGUAGAAGAUCUCCAUCAUUUACAUCCAGAUUGUGGCCAGGUAGCGUGAGCCAUGCAUCCAAGUGCACACACAGAGCACUAAGUAGUGAACAUGCGCCCAGGGAGCUGGUUGUUCCUGUAAAGGGACCCUUCGUUUUGUUGUUUUAGGCUGAAUCGAAACUGAAACAAAGUGUUUGAUUUACUUUUUUUCACUCGUUUCAUUCAGUCUUGACUGAGCUUGUAAAAGAAACACAAAGCAUUUACUUUACAUAAACGUAUAGAAGUUAAAGCAAAGGUAUAGUUGCUUUUGUUAGAUCUCAACAGCAGAAAAGUUUCUUUCAAAAACCAGAAAAGGAAAGCCUGGGACAUGAAACGGGUCUUUGGUGAACUAAGGUGUCUCGCCAGGAAAGCAUUUUCUUUCUGGGAAACAGCCUGAAGGGGAGGGCAUGACGAAUCUCUGACAAGUUGCCUGUAGGGCAGCUAAAACAAACGCAACAGUUAAGACACUGAUCGCAAAACCAAGCUGUAAUAACAACAUGGAGAGCGACACUGAAGCUGCUGUUUUUGGGCGUCUGUGGAGGUGUCUGAGGAGAAUCUGGAGACUUCUGCGCUGCUGUGAGUCUGACCUAAAACUUUCAGUUGAAGAAACAUCACCAGCUCUGUCCGUCCAUGAAGAUCAAGUGGUGUCCUGCUCUGAGAUGAUCGUUUUGGAUGAACUGAUGACAAGUGAACGUUUCUGAGUUCCCAGACCUACAUUUCAAGCCUCUUUUAAAGUCUUCCCCUUCAAAUCAUCGGCUGCUUUACUGACAGGGAAA